UAAUCUAAUUAGACUCAAACCAAGCCAAUUAGGUGCCAACUCUUGGAUAACCCAUAUUAGAAUAUGAUCUAAUCAAAUUAGAUCAAUUAAGAAUCAGAUUCGAAUCCAAUUCGAAUUAGGAGCUAAGGUUUGCAACACCUGCUAGGAUGUUUAUCUUGCAAAUAUGAUCUAAUCCAAUUAGACCCUUGAUAAGUUUUCUUGUGUGUGACCCAUUGGGUUCCAUACUUAGCCACCAAUAGGUGUGAGUGCGAGUUGACCCAACUUGAUUAGAACUCUUCUAAUCGAUUUAAGUUCAAACAGCGUGAACCCGAACUUAACAAUUAGAAUCCUUUCUAAUUGGUGAUCGAAUUAAACUCUUUAAUUCGAUCAAACCUAUAAG
rnacentral:lncRNA from 1 species